AGGGCACCACCAGGAGUGGAGCCUGCGGCUUAAUUUGACUCAACACGGGAAAACUCACCCGGCCCGGACACCGUAAGGAUUGACAGACUGAUAGCUCUUUCUUAAUUUGGUGGGUGGUGGUGCAUGGCCGUUCUUAGUUGGCGGAGCGAUUUGUCUGGUUACUUCCCAUAACGAACGAUACUCUGGCCUAUUAAAUAAACGGUAUAUCGAAAAGUAUGCUGUACUUCUUAGAGGGACAAGUGGCGUCUAGCCGCAUGAAAUAGAGCAAUAACCGGUCUGUGAUGCCCUUAGAUGUCCGGGGCUGCACGCGCGCUACACUUGAAAGAAUCAGAGUGCGCUGUACCUAGUUCUGAAGAACCGAUGUAACCCAAAUAAAUUCUUUCGUGCUUGGGAUAGGGAAUUGCAAUUAUUUCCCUAUAAACGAGGAAUUCCCAGUAAAUGCGGGUCAUAAGCUCGCGUUGAUUACGUCCCUGCCCUUUGUACACACCGCCCGUCGCUACUACCGAUUGGAUGACUUAU
rnacentral:rRNA from 1 species